rnacentral:lncRNA from 1 species
GUGGGUUCAGUUGAAGCAAAUGCUUAUCCCUACUCUUCACCCCCACCACCACCUUAUGUUUAUAGCUCACCACCACCUCCUGUUCACUCUCCACCACCGCCAUAUGUCUACAUGUCUCCACCACCUCCGUCACCGUCACCACCGCCGCCUUAUGUGUACAAGUCACCACCACCACCAUCACCAUCCCCACCACCGACUUAUGAGUACAAGUCUCCCCCACCGCCUUCUCCUUCACCACCACCACCUUAUGUGUACAAGUCUCCACCUCCUCCACCAAAAGAACUACCUCCGUACCACUACAAGUCUCCACCACCACCUUCUCCUUCACCGCCGCCACCUUACCACUAUACAUCUCCUC